GGCAAGUUUAUUAGAGAGAAAGCACAUUGCAAGGAAGCAAAGGGCAGCACAGCAGAGAAGGGGCUGUCUGCCAUGCAACAGGGGCUGGAGGGAAGUUUUAUAGGGUCAUGCUGGAGGGGUUAUGUGCAGACAGGAUAAUGGUGAUGGGGCCAUUUGCAGAGUGAGGUAUUUGAAAACAGUUGUUUUUGGUUAGCUGUCUCUUAGAACAAUUGUUUUCCUUCACCAAAGGCCUCUUCUUCAUUGUUGCUAACUUAUCAGCCUCCAUAAGACUAGGUCAUAAAAGGUCAUGCAGCUUCCAUCUGGUUCUUAGAAUUCUUGCUCUGAGGAUCCCUUUUGGAAUCCCGUGGCCAUACUGUGAGACCCUCCAGCUACCAGGCAGAGCCACAUGUGGGUGUUCUGGUCAAGCAUCUCAGCUGAGACAGCCCAUCAAGUCAUCCCUGCCAGGUGCCAGCCAGGUGAACAGAAGCCUCCAGAUGUUUCCAGUCCCCAGAUGUUUGAGACACCCCAACCAUUCAACUUCCCAGCUGAGGCCCCAGAAUCCUGAAACAGAGACAUGCCAACCAAAUUCCUGGCCCACAAAAUGCUUCCUGAAACGUAAUUUCAGCUUCAAAAUCAAGUCUUAUUUGACUUCUAACUUUGGGAUGCUCCAGAGGACCCCGAAACAUCCAAAAGAGAGGUAAAAAAAUACGUAGUCUACUCACUGAGGAAAAUCAACCUCUUCAUGAUCUAUUGACUGGGGAAAAUCAACCUCUUCACAAUCUAGAACCUGAAGAUUGGAUCUUCUGAGAACAACAGAGAAAGACUGUUCUUGCCAUCCACACUGCAGCAAAACUUCAGGACCUUGAACCGAAGUUUUGGGUUCAUAAUCUCACAACUUGGAAGGGUCCCUCUACAUUCUUGGAACUGUACACCUAUUGGAAACCUUAAGAUAAAGCUAAACAGGGAAGUUUUUUCCCAGAAGAAGGCAUCUCUGAUGUGGACAGCUUUUUCCCAAGAUCACAGAUCAAGAUUUCUCUACUAUUAUGAGAUUCUUUCAAUUUUUUUCCUUGCUUAUGCCUCUGUGAACAGUAGAAGUGAAAAGGAGGUUUGUUUGGUGAAUUCAUGGGGUUUACUUUUACUUGCGAAAGAUUUUGCAGCCAGCCUUAUACAUGAUUAAUCUUAUAUUUUGAUAUAUGGAAGAUGAAGGUCCAAUGUGGGUGAGAAAUUUCUGUGGUACAUACUCAUCAUCAGUCAGAAACAAAACAUUGAUGCACUAGUCUUACCUACAUCAUGGGUUAAAGAGAACAUUGCCAGGAGGCCUUCACUCUUCUAAAGAGCAUCAUUUGUUAAGUCCUUUUUUUCCAUGGUUUGGAGUAAAUGAAGCAAUGAUUAGAAAUUUAUCCCUCAUGAUAGGUUCUAUAGCGGAUUCUACUGUCAAGGCUAUGGUUACAAAACAGACUUUAAAUUCUUUUGUGAACAUUAUGAUAAAUAACAGAAUUGCUCUAGUUGACUUACUGGCUGAAUAAAGAAGUGUCUGUGUUGUGGGAAUCAAGGGACAGGAGAGACCAAUGGGACAGGAGGCCCUUGACCAUUAACUGGCAGCUGCCAAUAUGCCUGCAGUCCACAGAUCCAACAGAGGCCAGAGGGUGCCUGCCAGGUAUUUGGAGCUUCAAGUUGGUACCAAGAGUGGUUUAAAGAGGGGAAACGGGAGAAUGAACCUGGGUGGGGUGAUUUGAAAUCAUUCUUUCUGCCCCACCACAAAGUCUUUCCUAGCAUUUCACUGUAAUGUUAUUGUCCUAGGCAGGUUAACUCUCCUACUGGAUCUGUAAAGUCUUUUCCCUAGUGAACAAUG